rnacentral:rRNA from 1 species
UACGAAGGGGGCUAGCGUUGUUCGGAAUUACUGGGCGUAAAGGGCGCGUAGGCGGCCCUGUCAGUCAGAAGUGAAAGCCCCGGGCUCAACCUGGGAACCGCUUUUGAUACUGCAGAGCUUGAGUUCCGGAGAGGAUGGUGGAAUUCCCAGUGUAGAGGUGAAAUUCGUAGAUAUUGGGAAGAACACCGGUGGCGAAGGCGGCCAUCUGGACGGACACUGACGCUGAGGCGCGAAAGCGUGGGGAGCAAACAGG